rnacentral:lncRNA from 1 species
CUGAGAAUGACUAGUUGAAGAGAUCAGCUGUAGUGAUUUUGUAGUACCCUGAGCAUUAAUACACCAGACAACAGUGGGUCCAUUUUCUUUGAUUUCCAGUAGCCAUCCAGACAGUUCUGAUAUAAGUAAGUGAGAUUGCUCAACUCAUUUGCAACAGGACAGAUCCAAACAUGUUCUCUGAAAAGAAGCAGACAACAAGCAUCACUGAAUACUUGUGUCAGUAGGGAUCUUUAUUCCCUAGUCUGGGAGUUUGAGAAUGGGUGAGAGAAUUUCAGUCUCCUGGUUUCUAAUCUCUGGGCUGACAAGGCUUGCAAUGUGACCUUGAGCAUAUUAUUUAAACUCUCAACAUCGAAUUCACCACUGUUUAUGCUCUCUGCAACCUCGGUGUCAUUAUACUGCAUCUUCUUGAAUCUCUCAUUUUCCUGGACAAGGGCAAUGACGACAGAUCUCAUUGGACACAGAGAAAAGGAGCAAGAUGGAGAGAAUUUUUGUCUGUAUGAGAAACAGGAGGUGUGUAAUGGUGAAGUGCAUCUGAAGUG